UUGGACCCGCUAUAAAAGACCAAUAAGAAUUGUAUCUGACAUUCCUGAAAUCGUAACUGAUCACAGAAUACUAAAAAUGAAAGUUUUUGCAGUUUUAGUUCUUGCUGUUGUGGUUUACAACCACGCAGCUGAAGCAUCCGCUUGCCAUUGGACAAGGUUCUAUAGUCGAGAUCUCCCAACUGCCACAGCAGACAAUGAAGAACUUGAUUUGAUUCGACAUGAAAACUCCAGAGAUAACAUCUGUGCAGUACCAUCGCGUAUUGAGGUUAGAACUGUUGAUGGAGUUGAUUAUAGCGAUGCCGGACAAGUUGUAAAGAUUGGUCCUACUUUUGGUUUCUUAUGCUUGAAUGCAGAUCAACCUGACGGAACUUGUUUAGAUUACAAAGUGCGAUUCUGUUGUCCAUAAACUCUUCAUCUGUUAUUCUCUUAUAAAAUAUGUAACACUAAUUGUUAAUGAUAAUCCUAAACCAUGUAAAACAAAUCUUUAUUUCUGAAAAAUAAACUUCUGCUAACAUG